rnacentral:rRNA from 1 species
GAUCCUGGCUCAGGAUGAACGCUAGCGGGAGGCUUAACACAUGCGAGUCGAGGGGCAGCGCGGGGUAGCAAUACCCUGGCGGCGACCGGCAGACGGGUGAGUAACGCGUAUGCAACCUGCCCUGCACAGGGGAAUAGCCCGGAGAAAUUCGGAUUAAUGCCCCAUGGUCCGCGGGAGCCGCAUGGCUUCUUACGGUAAAGAUUCAUCGGUGCAGGAUGGGCAUGCGUUCCAUUAGCUAGUUGGCGGGGUAACGGCCCACCAAGGCGACGAUGGAUAUGGGGUCUAAAAGGAUGGUCCCACACAUUGGCACUGAGAUACGGGCCAAACUCCUACGGGAGGCAGCAGUGAGGAAUAUUGGUCAAUGGGCGAGAGCCUGAACCAGCCAUCCCGCGUGCAAGGAUGAAGGUCUUACAGAUUGUAAACUGCUUUUGCUGGGGACGAAUAAGGGGUACGCGUACCCCGAUGACAGUACUCAGUGAAUAAGCAUCGGCUAACUCCGUGCCAGCCGCCGC